rnacentral:rRNA from 1 species
AUGGCCUCCGGAACCUCGGCAGGUCGCGAGCCGUACGACGAGGAGGCCGCGAGCCGCCGCCCGCUCGAGCUCGGCGUCCGCGACUCCGCCCCCGCUUCCGCCUCCGACCACCGGUCUGGAAAUAUUGUGCCUAGAUAUCAGGUGGGAUGUACUAAAGCUGAUACAAGUAAGAGAUACUUGGAGGGAUGGCAUAAGAAGCAAUCUAGUACAGAUGAUGUACGCAAGAGCAAGUCAGGAUACUUCACGGCAUUCGGGGUGGACCUAUCUCCUGAUAAUAUGGCAGUUGCCAUUGUAUAUUUUAUGCAAGGGGUCUUAGGCCUUGCCCGACUUGCUGUGAGCUUUUACUUAAAAGACGAUCUUCACCUUGAUCCAGCUGAGACUGCAGUUAUAUCUGGCUUCUCAUCCUUGCCCUGGUUGAUCAAGCCAAUCUAUGGCUUUAUCAGUGAUUCUAUUCCACUAUAUGGGUAUCGAAGAAGAUCCUAUCUUAUUCUGUCAGGAUUUCUUGGAACACUUUCAUGGAGUCUGAUGGCUACAGUAGUGAACAGUAAAUAUGGUGCAGGAUUCUCUAUUCUUCUUGGAUCACUUUCUGUUGCCUUCUCAGAUGUUACUACGAGACCGACGCUGCUGCUGCCCAGUUUGACUACGGAGUUGACGACCCCUCCUUCUUGCCAGAGCAACCAGGUCGUAGAUUCUAUGGUAGUUGAGAGAGCUCGUGGCGAAUCACAAAGUACAUCUGGAUCUCUCCAGUCUCUAUGUUGGGGGUCCUCGGCAUUUGGUGGAAUUGUGAGCGCAUAUUUCAGUGGUUCGCUUGUGGAUGCAUAUGGAGUAAGAUUUGUCUUUGGUAUUACGGCAUUUUUACCAUUGAUGACAUCUGCUGUUGCAGUUCUUGUAAAUGAACAUCGCCUGACUCCUGGAGAACAUGCUAUGUCAGUCUCUGGUUCAGGAUUCAUUGAGAGCUCAAUACAGCACAUCAAGCAGCUAUGGACUUCUGUAAAGCAACCUAACAUUUUCUUGCCGACCUUGUUUAUAUUCCUCUGGCAAGCAACACCACACUCAGAGUCAGCCAUGUUUUUCUUCAUCACAAAUAAGCUUGGAUUCACUCCAGAGUUUCUAGGGCGUGUAAAACUCGUUACUUCCAUUGCAUCCUUGCUCGGUGUCGGAAUUUAUAACUAUUUUCUGAAGGCAGUUCAUCUGAGGAAAAUAUUUCUUGUGACAACCAUCAUAGGUUCAGCCCUUGGAAUGACACAGGUUCUUCUUGUCACUGGGCUUAAUAGGCAGUUUGGGAUCAGUGAUGAGUGGUUCUCCAUUGGAGAUUCGUUAAUCAUCACGGUCCUUGGCCAGGCUGCAUUUAUGCCAGUUUUGGUGUUAGCUGCAAAAUUGUGCCCUCCAGGAAUGGAGGCGACUUUGUUUGCCACUUUGAUGUCCAUUUCUAAUGCUGGAAGUGUUACGGGUGGUCUUGUCGGUGCUGGUCUAACAAAGAUUUUUGGAGUCACUAGGGAAAGCUUCGGAAAUCUACCUCUGUUGAUUAUUGUAUGCAAUCUCAGUUCCUUGCUGCCCUUGCCUCUUCUAGGUCUCCUUCCAGACGAAACAGGAGAUUCAGAUAAUGAAGAAACAAAACACAGCUGA